rnacentral:rRNA from 1 species
AACGAACGCUGGCGGCAGGCCUAACACAUGCAAGUCGAGCGAGGACUUCGGUUCUAGCGGCGGACGGUUGAGUAACGCGUGGGAAUGUGCCCUUCUCUACGGAAUAGCCCUGUGAAACUGGGAGUAAUACCGUAUACGCCCUUUUGUGGAAAGAUUUAUCGGAGCAGGAUCAGCCCGCGUUGGAUUAGGUAGUUGGUGGGGUAAUGGCCUACUAAGCCGACGAUCCAUAGCUGGUUUGAGAGGAGGAUCAGCCACACUGGGACUGAGACACGGCCCAGACUCCUACGGGAGGAAGCAGUGGGGACUCUUAGACAAUGGGGGCAACCCUGCUCGAGCCACGCCGGGUGAGUGAUGAAGGCCUUAGGGUUGUAAAGCUCUGUCAGCUGGGAAGAUAAUGACGGUACCAGCAGAAGAAGCCCCGGCUAACUCCGUG